CCUACGUGUGGCAGCAGUGAGGAAUAUUGGUCAAUGGGCGGAAGCCUGAACCAGCCAAGUAGCGUGCGGGAUGAAGGCCCUACGGGUCGUAAACCGCUUUUGCACGGGGAUAACACCCUCCACUUGUGGAGGUCUGCAGGUACCGUGCGAAUAAGGGCCGGCUAAUUCCGUGCCAGCAGCCGCGGUAAUACGGAAGGCCCGAGCGUUAUCCGGAUUCAUUGGGCUUAAAGGGAGCGUAGGCGGGCGUUAAAGUCAGCUGUAAAAGCGCGCGGCUCAACCGCGCCCCGCAGUUGAAACUGGACGACUUGAGUUCACAACAGGCAGGCGGAAUUCGUGGUGUAGCGGUGAAAUGCAUAGAUAUCACGAGGAACCCCGAUUGCGAAGGCAGCCUGCCGGGGUGCGACUGACGCUGAGGCUCGAAGGUGCGGGUAUCAAACAGGAUUAGAUACCCUGGUAGUC
rnacentral:rRNA from 1 species